AAACGCUUGCCAGCUACUUCAAGAUCGUGUCAUUUUUGGAGGAGGAGAAUCUGCUUCUCUUCAACUCUUCACUGAUGACCCUGAUGAGUCAGAUGAUAAUGAAGACGAAGAUGAAAAUGAUAUUCCCUAUGCUAUGAUGAGCGUUCAGGGGUUCUACUGUAAAGUUUGCAGGAGAGAUCUAGGAGACAGAGCGGCCUAUUUAAAUCACAUAGCAGGAGUGAAACAUCGCCAACAGCGUAUGCUCAAAAAGACUCGAAAAUCUUUGGCGAAACCAGAGCUUGUCUUUGACAAAAAUGGAAUAAAAGUUUCUUCAGAUCCCACAGGAGAGGAACAUGGUGUGAUAGAAUUGAAAGUGGAGAGUGGAAAAUACGGGCAGAUUGUGUUGAUUAUAGAGAACCUCAGUGAAAUGAUUAUUACACUGAAAUAAAUCACUCUACUAUGGAGUGUCAACUUCUUUGAUUACAAGGAAAUCUCCAAUAUCGGACCGUCCGAGGGUCAACUCUAUCCAGGUUGCCAGAAGAGGUUCAGGAUUGGCUGUAAACGUCGCCGUGAGUUCGGUUAUUCGUAUGUUCCUGGUGUACUUACAUUCCAGUCCGAAGAUUUGCCAGAGUUUCAUAUCCUGAGGUUUUUGUCGGUGCGUAUCGUAAGCGACUUGUACGAUGACUUAAAGAAAAUCUCGGAGUACACACCUCCCAAACAGGCACCAGAAAUUCCCAGGGAUGUCCAGACAAUUGAAGGAAUACCCCUUCCACGGUGAGGAUUUCAUU